rnacentral:rRNA from 1 species
GACGAACGCUGGCGGCGCGCUUAACACAUGCAAGUCGAGCGAGAACCAACCCUUCGGGGUUGGGGACAGCGGCGAACGGGUGAGUAACACGUGAGUAAUCCACCCUUGGUACCGGGAUAGCUCGGGGAAACUCGAAUUAAUACCGGAUAGCCCAUUAGCUUUUCGGAGCGAAUGGAAAAGGUAGCUUCGGCCUCCGACCAAGGACGAGCUCGCGGCGGAUUAGCUUGUUGGCGGGGUAACGGCCCACCAAGGCGACGANCCGUAGCUGGUCUGAGAGGACGAUCAGCCACACUGGGACUGAGACACGGCCCAGACUCCUACGGGAGGCAGCAGUGGGGAAUCUUGCACAAUGGGCGAAAGCCUGAUGCAGCGACGCCGCGUGAGGGAAGAAGGCCU